UACGGAGGGUGCAAGCGUUAUCCGGAUUUACUGGGUUUAAAGGGUGCGUAGGUGGGUAAGUAAGUCAGUGGUGAAAUCUUCGAGCUUAACUCGGAAACUGCCAUUGAUACUAUUUAUCUUGAAUACUUUGGAGGUAAGCGGAAUAUGUCAUGUAGCGGUGAAAUGCUUAGAUAUGACAUAGAACACCAAUUGCGAAGGCAGCUUACUACACAGUUAUUGACACUGAGGCACGAAAGCGUGGGGAUCAAACAGG
rnacentral:rRNA from 2 species